rnacentral:rRNA from 1 species
UACGUAGGGUGCGAGCGUUGUCCGGAAUUAUUGGGCGUAAAGGGCUCGUAGGCGGUUUGUCGCGUCGGGAGUGAAAUCCACUGGCUUAACUGGUGGCUUGCUUUCGAUACGGGCAGACUGGAGGUAUGCAGGGGAGAACGGAAUUCCUGGUGUAGCGGUGAAAAUGCGCAGAUAUCAGGAGGAACACCGGUGGCGAAGGCGGUUCUCUGGGCAUGUCCUGACGCUGAGGAGCGAAAGCAUGGGGAGCGAACAGG